CGAGCGGACAGAAGGGAGCUUGCUCCCGGAUGUUAGCGGCGGACGGGUGAGUAACACGUGGGUAACCUGCCUGUAAGACUGGGAUAACUCCGGGAAACCGGAGCUAAUACCGGAUAGUUCCUUGAACCGCAUGGUUCAAGGAUGAAAGACGGUUUCGGCUGUCACUUACAGAUGGACCCGCGGCGCAUUAGCUAGUUGGUGAGGUAACGGCUCACCAAGGCGACGAUGCGUAGCCGACCUGAGAGGGUGAUCGGCCACACUGGGACUGAGACACGGCCCAGACUCCUACGGGAGGCAGCAGUAGGGAAUCUUCCGCAAUGGACGAAAGUCUGACGGAGCAACGCCGCGUGAGUGAUGAAGGUUUUCGGAUCGUAAAGCUCUGUUGUUAGGGAAGAACAAGUGCAAGAGUAACUGCUUGCACCUUGACGGUACCUAACCAGAAAGCCACGGCUAACUACGUGCCAGCAGCCGCGGUAAUACGUAGGUGGCAAGCGUUGUCCGGAAUUAUUGGGCGUAAAGGGCUCGCAGGCGGUUUCUUAAGUCUGAUGUGAAAGCCCCCGGCUCAACCGGGGAGGGUCAUUGGAAACUGGGAAACUUGAGUGCAGAAGAGGAGAGUGGAAUUCCACGUGUAGCGGUGAAAUGCGUAGAGAUGUGGAGGAACACCAGUGGCGAAGGCGACUCUCUGGUCUGUAACUGACGCUGAGGAGCGAAAGCGUGGGGAGCGAACAGGAUUAGAUACCCUGGUAGUCCACGCCGUAAACGAUGAGUGCUAAGUGUUAGGGGGUUUCCGCCCCUUAGUGCUGCAGCUAACGCAUUAAGCACUCCGCCUGGGGAGUACGGUCGCAAGACUGAAACUCAAAGGAAUUGACGGGG
rnacentral:rRNA from 1 species